GACGAACGCUGGCGGCGUGCUUAACACAUGCAAGUCGAACGGUAAGGCCCUUCGGGGUACACGAGUGGCGAACGGGUGAGUAACACGUGGGUGAUCUGCCCUGCACUUCGGGAUAAGCCUGGGAAACUGGGUCUAAUACCGGAUAGGACCACUGCCUGCAUGGGUGGUGGUGGAAAGCUUUUGCGGUGUGGGAUGGGCCCGCGGCCUAUCAGCUUGUUGGUGGGGUGAUGGCCUACCAAGGCGACGACGGGUAGCCGGCCUGAGAGGGUGACCGGCCACAGUGGGACUGAGAGACGGCCCAGACUCCUACGGGAGGCAGCAGUGGGGAAUAUUGCACAAUGGGCGCAAGCCUGAUGCAGCGACGCCGCGUGAGGGAUGACGGCCUUCGGGUUGUAAACCUCUUUCAGCACCGACGAAGCGCAAGUGACGGUAGGUGCAGAAGAAGGACCGGCCAACUACGUGCCAGCCGCCGCAGUAA
rnacentral:rRNA from 1 species